rnacentral:lncRNA from 1 species
UUUUAGUCUCUGAGGUAUAGCGUAAUUAACGGAUUCGUCCCUCUAUUUUUAGAACCCAACGCUUUCGUCCCUGAGGUUUAAUUCCGUCAAAAUUAGAGGUCCCUCCGUCAAAAAUGCCGUUAGUGAUAGGAAAAAUGACCGAAUUACCCUUUCUAGAACUCAAUACUUUAGUCUCUGAAAUUUAAUUCCUACAAAUUUAUAGGUCCCUCUCUCAAAGAAUUGAAGGAAAAAAUACAUUUU